rnacentral:rRNA from 1 species
UACGUAGGUGGCAAGCGUUGUCCGGAAUUAUUGGGCGUAAAGAGCUCGUAGGCGGUUUGUCGCGUCUGCUGUGAAAACGCGAGGCUCAACCUCGCGCCUGCAGUGGGUACGGGCAGACUAGAGUGCGGUAGGGGAGAUUGGAAUUCCUGGUGUAGCGGUGGAAUGCGCAGAUAUCAGGAGGAACACCGAUGGCGAAGGCAGAUCUCUGGGCCGUUACUGACGCUGAGGAGCGAAAGCGUGGGGAGCGAACAGG